GAUGAAGAACGCAGUGAAAUGCGAUAAGUAGUGUGAAUUGCAGAAUUCAGUGAAUCAUCGAAUCUUUGAACGCACAUUGCGCCCCUUGGUAUUCCGGGGGGCAUGCCUCUUCCAGCGUCAUUUCACCCCUCAAGCUCUGCUUGGUUUUGGGCCGCGCCGGCAACGGCGGGCCUCGAAAAUAGUGGCGACGCCAUCGUGCUCUCAGCGUAGUAAUUCUUCUCGCUGUUGGGUCCCGGUGGUCGUCCGCCAGCAACCCCCAACUUUCUUAAGUUUGACCUGGGAUGAGGUAGGGAUACCCGCUGAACUUAAGCAUAUCAAUAAGCGGAGGA
rnacentral:misc_RNA from 1 species